AGAACAAAAGGGCUUUAUUUCCCAAAAUCCCUCAGUCUAUGGCUGGGAGGCUCGAGCGUGCACAGGCCAGAGGUCCAGCUAGGAGGUGCGCGAUGGGCUGGGGCCAAGUUCGUCCACAGGACACUCUCUGCACUGCGGCUGUCCCUCAGAGUCCCUGUGGCCUUCCUGGCCCUUCUCCUGUGGCGGUGUCUCUCCCACUAGUGGUCAGUUAAAUUCCUCCAGCCCAGGCCCACUGCCCCAUCAGCCCCAAAUCCCAGGCAGGCAGGAAGGAUAGGAAUGACCACAUUCUCUAGUUGCCCCGAAGAGGGGGUAAAACCGCACACCCCGUGGUGCCUGGGCACGCGUGUAGGUGCCCAGUGAAGCCCCAGCCCCCCUCCCUGCUGCCCAGAGACAAGCCCUCCCCCGCCAGCCAAGCUGCCCCCACCCCCAGCUCCCAGAAUAGUCUGUGGCCAGGGCUGGCCUGUGGUAAACAGCCCAGGAGCCUCCCUGGUGGGUCUCUGAUGAGUAAUUCUUAGGAAAACACAGCAAGGGUGUGGGGGUGUGGGCGCUGGAACCUGAGCUGGUGGGCAGGUCCCUCUGGGCCCCCUUCGUCCGCACCAGGCUGGACCCAGCUGGCCAGGCCGUGGAGGGGCAGCAGUAGGGGAGGCGGGCUGGGUGUCCCAGAAGGAGGAUGCCUGCUGGCUUCAGGCUCCUCCCCCUCUCCACCCCGGAAAGGAAGGGGUCCUGGGCCCUCCUGGAAUGUCCCAGUCAUCAGGGCAGCUGACGCCCCACCCCGCGGCUCCUGGGGCACUGCCGCCCUCUGACCCCAUCACGCACACCCGUCCCCGGCCCUAUCACCACCCAAGCCUCUUCCCCAGCCUGUCCCAGUCGUUGUCUGGGCGCCACCUCACAGGUGACAGUGGAUUAAACUCCAGUGUUGAUCUCACACCCCUCACGCGACAUCUGCAAGCGUGCUCACCUCCCUUCCGCACACAGGCAGCCGCGUCUCUGCUCUCUCUUCUCCAGUCACCACCAGCUGCCUGUAUGGCUUGAAAAGACUAACUGGUGGCUCCUCCCCCCCACCAAUCCUGGGCCAGACCAGCUGGGGGUUCCACACCGCCCCCCCGGGGGGGAGGUUCCCACGAGAAGCUCACCUCCCCUGAGGACACCGCUCUCACCAGGACUCAAGGAGCACCAGUGGGUGGGCCCCCCCAAGACUUCUCAGUGGGCGCCCCCCAUCCCCACAGACGUCCCAGGGGGUGGGGGGCCCAGGCAGAUUUCUCAGCAGCCCCAAACGGAUCAGGGGCUGGUGGCAUCUCCCCUGGUCUGUCUCCAGGGACCUCACCCCUCUCUGCCUGGGAUGCUCCUCCUUUCAGUGCACCGGGACACCCCUCCCGUCCCCCCACCCGUGUUUUCUGGCCCAGUCCCAGCAGCGAGAGGCACCCACCUCUGCAGCCCAAACACCCCCCCCCUUUUUUUUGGUCUUUUUGCCUUUUCUAGGGCCGCUCCUACAGCAUAUGGAGGUUCCCAGGCUAGGGGGCCUAUGCCACAGCAACUCAGGAUCCGAGCCGUGUCUGCAACCUACACCAUAGCUCACGGCAAUGCUGGAUCCUUAACCCACUGAGCAAGGCCAGGGACCGAACCCACAACCUCAUGGUUCCUAUCAGAUUCGUUAACCACUGCAACACGAUGGGAACUCCCCUCCUCCCAUUCUUGCAGGGCAACCGCUGAGGCUCAAGUGGGGCCUUGGGAGGGUUUCAUCUGGGAAGUGGAGGGGUGGGGCGUUGCGAUGGAGACAGUGGCUCCCCCCAACCCUGAAUCCUCAGCAAACCCAUGGCUCAGCAUCAGGGCGCCCCAGUCAGUCCUAGCCUGCCCCGGGCACCCCUGACUCUUGCUCCCGUUCCCACAAAGCUCCUCAGAAAGUUGUUUCCCUUUGUCUCCAGCUCUGCUCCGAGCAGGACUCCUCUGCCGUUUUCACCGCCACUGCUCAGGUCAGUGCAGGUAAGACCACCCGUGACCUCCGUGUAGCCACAUCUGGGGCCAGCGGUCAGCCUCCCAUUCCCCCUUGGGCAGCCUCGGACAGCGGGCUAGUGCCCCUCUGCAGUACCUUUAUUUUUCUAUGAAAUUCCUGACCUAGUUUGCAUUGGCUCAUUGGAGCUCCAGCCUUUGGGAGGAAAAAGCCCCCAGAACUACCCCCUGUCUCCAGUGAGGCUGCCUUUAACCUCCUGGGGCCCUUCCUGGAGCAGCCCGGGAUAGUGGCUUGUGGUCUCUUCUUUGACACAAGCCCUGCACCCGCCCAGGACGUGCGUGUGGACGAGGCACUGAGCUUAGCAGAGCACGUGAGUUUUAGGGGAGACAGACCAUCCAUGAGGACAGAAGACGGUAUGGCAUCUUCACGGGACAACGGGUGCCCCUGGGAAGAGACUGGAGUGUCGUCGGGGCAGUGAGGAAGAGGGUGAGGGCUGAAUGCGACGAGGCUGGUGAGACAGGCUUUCCCAAGGCGGUAGCUGAGAUAAAGCAGGGACUGUACACCUGGGCCAUCCCGUAUAGACAGAGUCCAGAUAAUACGUUUCCACGAGAAUUGGAGGGGGGUGAGCCUAAAGGCACAGGGAGCCCCAGGGAGACCCCACCCCUGAUGUCCAUGGUUCACCCGAACACUGACCAUGGGAACCUGG
rnacentral:lncRNA from 1 species